ACUAGCGCUCUUUUAAAAAGCGCUGGUAUAGGUGAACUAACACUAGCGCUCUUAGUAGGAGCGCUGGUAUAGGGCUAAUAGUGUGAAAUUUAAUGCAGGAAAAAUUGGCGCUUUAACAUUAUUUCACUUUUUUAUUUUUUUAUUUUUCCAUUUAUUUCUUCUAACCUUAUCUCAUCCGAGCCCUAGGUUUCUCUUCAACCUCUCAUUCACCAGAUCUCUAUUCUUGGUCUCAACUCUGAACUUGUCCCCUCUCCUUCUCUCUGCAACUCCCCAAUCGCCUCUAUCUCUAUUCUCGUUCUUAACCUAUUGCACUACAGCCACCACUAUCACUCCACACCAUAUCCUCACACCACCACUGAAGCCAACCCCUCUCUCUUUGUUUGAGCUCUCUGCUAUGGGUUUUUCGGCUAGAUCUCUGGCCAAACCUUGGCCCCUUGCUCUCGAUCUCAUCUCUUCUCCAUCGGCUUCGUCUCCGGCCGACCCUCGGCCAAGAAGAUAACAUUCUCAUCUCGCCGCCAUCCACCGCUGCAAUUUUCGGUCAUCUUCUCCGGCGAAUCUCCGGUUGUCAUCUCAUCGUUCUCGGGUUGGUCUCUCUCUCGGAUUUUUCUCUUCAUUCCUUUGCUCUUCUCUCUAUCUUUCGGCUUCUAUCGAUGCCAGUUUGACCCAGUGACUGGUGGGGAGAUGACUCAGCUAGAAUAUCACAACUUCCUUAAACCUGAAGAUGAGGCUAGGGACGAACUGCAUAUAAUGUUGAAUGAGCCUUGAUGAGUUUGUUGUUUCUGUGCCUGCUGGAACAACUUGGGGCACAAGUUCUCUACACAAUCUUCGCUACCUUUUGCUUGCUAGCUGUGGUUUUUGUGAAGAGGAAUGUGAUGGAAAGGAAAGGAAAAUCACUCCAAGAAAUUGAGAUUGCACUUCUGCCCGUUGAUUAGAGGUGUACAUUGUAAGGGCGAACAGUUCUGAAGAAGGUAACAAUUUCUAAGAAGUGUUUUUAGAGAAGUUUGAAGAUGAAGUUGAAGCUAGAACAAAGAAAGUUUGAAGAUGGGGUCGUGGUUGUAUUUACUACUUUUGUGAAAAAUUCUUUUCAUUUUGUGUAUAGUUCUUUUGUAAAAACUUGGUGUUCAGUACAAUAUUAUCUAUUAGUAGACAUGUAAUUUGAAUGUUAUUUUCAUA